UACGAAGGGGCUAGCGUUGCUCGGAAUUACUGGGCGUAAAGCGCACGUAGGCGGCUUUCUAAGUCGGGGUGAAAUCCUGGAGCUCAACUCCAGAACUGCCUUCGAUACUGGAGAGCUCGAGUCCGGGAGAGGUGAGUGGAACUGCGAGUGUAGAGGUGAAAUCGUAGAUAUUCGCAAGAACACCAGUGGCGAAGGCGGCUCACUGGCCCGGUACUGACGCUGAGGCACGAAAGCGUGGGGAGCAA
rnacentral:rRNA from 1 species